UCUUAAAUAAAUCCUGCUCAAUGAUAAAUUAAAUAGCUGCAGUAAAUUAACUGUACUAAGGUAGCAUAAUAAAUUGCUUUUUAAUUAAAAGCUAGAAUGAAUGGAACUAUGAGAAAUUAACUUUUUAAUAUUAAAAAGUAGAAAUUAAUCUUUAAGUGAAAAAUCUUAAAUAUAAUCAAAAGACAAGAAGACCCUUUAGAAUUUCACUAAAAUUAAGCCCUAAGCUUUAAAUUUUGUUAAAUUGGGGAGAUUAAAAAAUAAUAAAAUCUUUUUUUAUUAGACAAUGGAUUAAACCAGAUUAAAUUAUCCAAAUAUGAAAAAAAACAAAUUACCUAAGGGAUAACAGCGUAAAAUUUUUAAAAAGAUCUUAUUGAUAAAAUAAUUUACGACCUCGAUGUUGGAUUAAGAA
rnacentral:rRNA from 1 species